UGUUCACAGAACGGUGUCUCUUGAG
rnacentral:piRNA from 1 species